CUCUUUCUGGAGAUUUCUCUCUUGUGGUGUUUCCCUCUGAGUCUACAUCUUCAGAGAUGGUAAUUAGAGACCUUUUUCAACUGCCACAACUCUUCAAACAUGACGGAGUGACCUUGCCAGCACUUGCUUCUUCAGGACUCUUAUGUUCAUUAGUAACAAAGCAAUGAAAAGAAUACCUGUCAGACUUUGGUUGCCUCUAAACUUCCUAAAUACAUGGGAGCAAGUGAAUGUUCUAUCAGUGGUGCUGGUUCCACAACUGUGAUGUAAAUAAAUCCCAGGUAUUGUGAUGUUAUGCGUUAGACCACAUGGCUGCUAACACUUUCCUGUGAUGUGCAUCUUCAUAUUUGUAGGAGCUUCCUAUCUAUAAGAGGCUUAUUUUCUCUCUCGCUCCAGGCUGUGAUGAUUGAUUCAUGAACCACAGAGCUGUGCUUUGCAAGGAAAGACAGAUGCUGCUAUCUCAGAGGCAAAGCAUAUUAAAGGACUCUCAGCCUGUGGAUAUCCCUGUACUUCUCUUGGCUGCCAGUUUCCCUUUCCAGCUCGGCUGUGCAGGAGAUCACACAGGGUAAUUAUGCAGUAACGUGCAGGAAAAUCUGUGUAGUACCACCACUGAAGCCCACACAGAAAUAAAAUAAGACAAUGUCUGCCACAAGAAUCAUAGAAUCUGAACAUCAUACUUAAAGUAUUAGCCUGCACAGCUUUGCAGUGGUGUAAUUAUGUUAUAUACGGAGAAGCUCGAUGUGUGGACCUACCAAAACACAUUGUUUUUGUUUAUGCUGCAAAGCUUAACAAACUGAAUAGCACAGCAAGUUGUCUGCCAGAAGAUACCAUGUGGCUGACAAAAGGACAUGUAAAAUUAGAGCUUU
ensembl:lncRNA